GUGACAGGGCUGCAGAGCCUUGGGGACGACUGGUCCUGAGAAAGGAGUGCACUGGCAGAGUGAACUCAGGUAGCUGGGUACGUAAGUAGACACACAGGUAGACAGACAGGUAAGUAGACAGGUAAGUAGACACACAGGUAGACAGACAGGUAAGUAGACACACAGGUAGACAGACAGGUAAGUAGACACACAGGUAGACAGAAAGGUAAGUAGACACACAGGUAGACAGACAGGUAAGUAGACACACAGGUAGACAGACAGGUAAGUAGACACACAGGUAGACAGAAAGGUAAGUAGACACACAGGUAGACAGACAGGUAAGUAGACACACGUAGACAGACAGGUAAGUAGACACACGUAGACAGACAGGUAAGUAGACACACGUAGACAGACAGGUAAGUAGACACACGUAGACAGACAGG
ensembl:lncRNA